CGCUGGCGGCGUGCCUAAUACAUGCAAGUCGAACGGUCUUUCUAUGGAAGCUUGCUUCCACUGAGAAGAUAGUGGCGAACGGGUGAGUAACACGUGGGUAACCUGCCCAUAAGAGGGGGGAUAACAUCCGGAAACGGGUGCUAAUACCGCAUAGUUUUCUUGAUCGCAUGAUCGGAAGGAAAGACGGCCUUUGUGCUGUCGCUUAUGGAUGGACCCGCGGCGUAUUAGUUAGUUGGUGAGGUAACGGCUCACCAAGACGAUGAUACGUAGCCGACCUGAGAGGGUGAUCGGCCACAUUGGACUGAGACACGGCCCAAACUCCUACGGGAGGCAGCAGUAGGGAAUCUUCCGCAAUGGACGAAAGUCUGACGGAGCAACGCCGCGUGAGUGAAGAAAAGGUUUUCGGAUCGUAAAACUCUGUUGUCAGAGAAGAACAAGUUGGAGAGUAACUGCUCCAGCCUUGACGGUAUCUGACCAGAAAGCCACGGCUAACUACGUGCCAGCCGCCGC
rnacentral:rRNA from 1 species